CAUCUGUGUCAACUUGUUCCGGCGCAUAUCUAGACAUAUCGCAGAACAUCCUGUCGUAUUGAGUUACCGACAUCUUCCCUUGCUUCAGAUUGUAAAAUUCAGCUUCCUUCUUCUUGCGGUAGCUCUUGGGUAUAUACUUGUCAUAUAUACCGGCUUUGAAUUGUUCCCAAGUCAGGUUUUCUAACUGCUCUGCUGUCAUCGUUUUCAUCCUUGCUUCCCACCAGAAAUCAGCUGACCCAGUCAACUGAAAGGACAUACAAGU
rnacentral:lncRNA from 1 species